GCGAAUGAUGAAUAUCAAAUUUAUUAUUUCUUCACUUUGAUCCGAUUGGGUAAUUAUUUAUCCUUGUGGACAAUAUUCAGAUUACUGACG